UGCCCGGUGGUGUAAUGGUAGCACGCCUGACUCUGAAUCAGGUAAUCGGGGUUCGAAUCCCUGCUGGGCAA
rnacentral:tRNA from 1 species